CCUUCGAUAGCUCAGUUGGUAUAGCGGGGUACUGUAGUUGUUCGCAGCAAUAUGACAAUCCCUAGGUUACUGGUUCGAAUCCGGUUCGAAGGA